GUGUCAGCGCCGCGGUAAGACGUAGGGGGCGAGCGUUGUCCGGAAUUACUGGGCGUAAAGAGCACGUAGGCGGGUAUUUAAGUCAGUCGUGAAAGACCGCAGCUUAACUGCGGGGUUGCAAAUGAAACUGGGUAUCUUGAGGGCAGGAGAGGUCAGUGGAAUUCCUGGUGUAGCGGUGAAAUGCGUAGAAAUCAGGAGGAACACCAGUGGCGAAGGCGGCUGACUGGACUGACCCUGACGCUGAGGUGCGAAAGCGUGGGUAGCAAACAGGAUUAGAUACCCUGGUAGUCCACGCUGUAAACGAUGGAUACUAGGUGUGGGAGGUAUCGACCCCUUCCGUGCCGGAGCCAACGCAAUAAGUAUCCCGUCUGGGGAGUACGGUCGCAAGGCUGAAACUUAAAGAAAUUGACGG
rnacentral:rRNA from 1 species